rnacentral:rRNA from 1 species
CUCAAAGAUUAAGCCAUGCAAGUGGUAAUAACCAGACGGUUUAAAUAAGUGUACAUAAAAAAUAGCAGAUAAAGCUUUUUAUCACUUAUGCAACUGUAGAUAGCUGCGUAANCAGUUACACUUGUCUUGACUAAGCGCAUUUUUUGUUAAAAAAACAAUUAAAUAAACCAAUUUUAUUGGAUAACUUAGGGAAAGUUUGGCUAAUACGUACGAUAUUAAAAAAUUAAACCAAAAAAACUUUUUAACAUUUUCUUGCUCUUAUUGGAUUGUGAUCUAGAUUUAUCUAGNGAACAUUAUACGCAACAUGAACGACAAUAAGCACCUCUCUUUAAUUUAUUAAAGUGACGAGCAGACUUACGAAUUUAUAUUUGUAGGCAUGUCANACAAGUAUCUGAUUUAUCAUGAAACUUUGUAGGCAAGUGUAUUUUUGGACCUCCUAUUCACUGACAAAUUGCUANGAGAAGCUUCAUCUCAGCCAGAAGGAGCACAAUGAGAGACCGCUCUUAGUUCUAAGGAACGCAGCAGGCGCGUAAAUUGCCCAAUGCUAGUACAUUUAUUUAUAUAAUAAAUACCGUGUUGUUAAAAANAAGUAAAAAAAUAUUCCUUUUUUUUUACAUUAAACAAAUAUAAUCCUUGUUCACGUUAUUUACUCAAAUAUUGAGUGAGGCAGUGACAAGCUGUAACGAUUGAGUAUAUAUAAAAUAGGAAAGGAUGAGGUUGAGGCUGUCUUUCGACUUCCAUAUAUCUCUCCUUUUAUCUAUUUGCUCAUUUGUAAUGCAGUGAGUGUAGAUAACUCAGAAUCAUUAUUUUUUAAUAAUUUUAUUAAUUGUUGAGAAAUGAUUAUCUGAAAUUUCAAGUGGAGGGCAAGUCUGGUGCCAGCAGCCGCGGUAAUACCAGCUCCACUGGCCUAUACAAUAAUUGUUGCGGUUAAAAGGCUCGUAGUUGGAUUGAACUAAAUAAAAGAAGAAAAUUAAAAAAUUAUUUUUUAAAAAAAAAUUACCUUUAAAAAAUACCAAUUUUUUUUUUAAAAAUUAUUUUUUUUCUUUUCAACACUGUGAAUAAAUCAGAGUGUACCAAACAUGUCUUUUAUGAAUUUAUUUUCAUUAGCGCAUUGAAUGUCUUAUCAUGGAAUGUUGCUUAUUUUUGUCUCUUUUAGGGGCAAAACUGUCGAUGGGGAUAGUUGGAGAAGAUAGUACUGCAGGGCGAGGGGUGAAAUCCGUUGACCCUUGCAAGACUACCAAAAGCGAAAGCAAUUCUUCUAGAUUAUACCCUNUGUGAUUNAANAUAUUCACCUUUUCACAUUCAUGUUUGAACCGAAAUUAAAAUUAUUANNNUUUUUUUUUUUUUNUUUAAAAAANANNANANUAUNNAUUNNUAANAAUAAANAAUAAUAUUUUUUAACCCUGUUCAGAAAUUGUUUGNCCGAAAUUGAUUAUGUUUAUCACUACACAAUGAAGAACGAAGGUCUGGCGAUCAAAGNGGAUCAGAUACCCUCGUAGNCCAGUCGUCACNUCAAACGAUGGGCUCUCAAUUGCAUAUUUUAUUUUAAUAUAUUAUAUUAAAACAAUUCUCCGACCUGNAAAUCUAAUUUAAUUUUUUUGCUUGUAGUUAUUUUUAAUAACUNGCUUAAAUUUUUUAUUCAACCUGCAUUUAAAGUCGUUGUAGAAUAUUUCUGAUAUUUUUUAGUUUUUUAUGAUUUUUAUCAUUCUUAAUUNAAAAUUGAUUGUAUAAGCUUUGCGCUCAUUUAAAAAUUGUGUGAGAUGUAAGAGAACACUAAUUAAGAUAUUAUGUAAUACUGAAGACUGAGAUUUUAGCCUCGCGCUGUCUGAUCUUUCUAAAGUCAUUAUUUGUUUUAAUUUUUUAAAGCUUCUCAAUGCACGCCUUAGGCAUGUGCUUACUUGCAGAAAUGUUUGAGACAUUCCCCUCCUGGGGUAGUAUGCACGCAAGUGUGAAACUNGAAGGAAUUGACGGAAGGGCACCACAAGAACGCGUGGAGCAUGUGGCUUAAUUUGACUCAACGCGGGGAACCUUACCGGGUCCGGACACACUGAGGAUUGACAGAUAAAUUAUUUAGGAUAAUUUAUUAUUUUAAAUAAGUAAACAUGAAGAUCUUUCAUGAUUGUGUGAUAGGUGGUGCAUGGCCGUUCUUAGUUCGUGGAGUGAUUUGUCUGCUUAAUUGCGUACUUAAAAAUAGUAGAUCCGAUCAAAUAAUUAGUCUUUAUUUUUUAAAUAAUUGCUAGUUGUUGGAUUUAUUAUUUAAGCAACGAACGUGACCGCGACCUCAUAUUACAAACAAUUGUAAUGGGUACAACAACUUAUUAUAAUUGUUAUUCAGAAUCGUUAGUCUUUUAAAGACUACCUUUUUGUCUAAUUUGAGGGACAGCUGUAUUUUAAAGACAGAGGAAGGGCGCGUCAAUAACAGGUCUGUGAUGCCCUUAGAUGUUCCGGGCUGCACACGUGCUACAAUGAUUGUUUCAAUGAGCAUCUAAAUACUGAAAUAAUUAAAUAAGCAAUUAUUUGAUUAUUUUUAAAACCUUCUGCGAUAGUUUAACGGAUUCUGGAGAACGUAUCUUAUCUUCCUCAGAAUCUUGAAGGUAAUCUAUUAGCAGUAACGAUUUCCCUUUAUAGCCAAUUUUUUUAUACCCGUUUUGUUAAUUGCCUUGCUGAGAUUGAAUUUAUUCAAUUUCUUGCAAUUAUUAAAAACUUGGUAUUGCGCCUCAUCAGUUCGUGGUGGGGAUAGACCAUUGUUAAAAAGAUUUUCACUUGUGAAAUGAUUAUGGAAUUGUUGGUCUUGGUUUAACUAGGAAUGCCUUGUACAAGUUAGUUCAACAAACUACUUGGAAUAUGUCCCUGCCCUUUGUACACACCGCCCGUCGCUCUUACCGAUGGACUAUUUUGUGAGUUUAUUGGACAAUAAUUGAAUGGAUUUAUUCAUUCUACGAUUGAAAAAUAAACGAACAAUGUGGUCUAAAGGAAAGAGAAGUCGUAACAAGGCAUCGGUAGGUGAACCUGCAGAAGGAUCA